rnacentral:rRNA from 1 species
CCUACGGGUCGCACCAGUGAGGAAUAUUGGUCAAUGGACGCAAGUCUGAACCAGCCAUGCCGCGUGCAGGAAGACGGCUCUAUGAGUUGUAAACUGCUUUUGUAUAAGGGUAAAAUUGGGUACGUGUACCCAACUGAAAGUACUAUACGAAUAAGGGUCGGCUAACUCCGUGCCAGAAGCCGCGGUAAUACGGAGGACCCAAGCGUUAUCCGGAUUUAUUGGGUUUAAAGGGUGCGUAGGCGGUUUGGUAAGUUAGAGGUGAAAUUUUUAGGCUCAACCUAGACAUUGCCUCUGAUACUGCCGAGCUAGAGAGUAGUUGCUGUGGGCGGAAUGUAUGGUGUAGCGGUGAAAUGCAUAGAGAUCAUACAGAACACCGAUUGCGAAGGCAGCUCACAAAACUAUAUCUGACGUUGAGGCACGAAAGCGUGGGUAGCAAACAGGAUUAGAUACCCCCGUAGUC